UACGAAGGGUGCAAGCAUUACUCGGAAUUAUUGGGCGUAAAGCGCGCGCAGGCGGUCCUUUAAGUCUGAUGUGAAAGCCCACGGCUCAACCGUGGAGGGUCAUUGGAAACUGGGGGACUUGAGUACAGAAGAGAAGAGUGGAAUUCCACGUGUAGCGGUGAAAUGCGUAGAGAUGUGGAGGAACACCAGUGGCGAAGGCGACUCUUUGGUCUGUAACUGACGCUGAGGCGCGAAAGCGUGGGGAGCAAACAGG
rnacentral:rRNA from 1 species